CUUCCUUAUCAUUGCAAAGACUCAAUGAAAACAGCCACCCCACCCAGGCAUCCACUUCCAAAAUAAAUGCAAAAGAAAAUAUUGGACUGCUUUGCAUUGUAAACUGGCCAGUCGAAGUUUAGAUUCCUAACUGCUCCUUUUAAAGUUCUAAUUUGAUUUUCAUCAUCCAUUAACAGACACUUAACACUCUGCUAGAAAAUACUAUUCCAAAACCCCUCCUAAUACUCAAUUUUCAUCCCCAUAAUUCUCAGCUAACUCUACGUUAGAGUAUAACAAUUUAGACACCACACCAUUGUCAAGCAUAUUUGAUAUUUCAACAAGAAGUGAUCCAUGCCAAGCCAAGCCAAGCCAUCCAUAAUAGAUUUCAACUUCUAGAUUGGAAGUCCAAAAUUAUAAUCUGGAAUGGUAUAGAAAAUUGUGAAUUCAAAACAGAUUUGGUUCAACAAAAAUUCCAAGCAACGUUCUACAUUCCACUAAAAGUUAGCAGUCUCUUAACCAAAAUAAUAAGAAUGCCUAUCUCAAAAGUAAAUGCAUGAUAUACAAGCCCUGGACUCAGAUCUCAGCAUUCCAAUAUAUAGAUCACCGUCAUAACAAACAACAGUGAGCUUGCAUUAAAAAAUCUCAAAAUAAUCAAAAUAAAAGAUAAAUUACUGUCUUCGGAGAAUAUGAAAGUAAUAUCUGAAAGUUUGCAAUCAAAAUAAUAUAACAUUUCCAUAGGCUCGACCUAAUAUUUCAUUAGAACAAUACAGCAUUCUGUUCCUAGAAUUGAUAUCACAGAUAACGUGAGAGAGUGCAUUGGACAAUAUCUUGGAGUGAUCGUCAUGGAUCGGAGUGAAAAAGUUAUCGGAGAAUGAGGGAUUAUUUGAUGGAUGACGGUAAACAAUUCUAGGGUUUGGUUGCUGAUCCGGCGGUAGGGAGGGUGCCAGUGUACAUUGCAAUUUGCAGUAAACGAUAUGCUGUGAGAAUGAAAAAAUGUUGAAUUUUGAAAGUUUGUAACGAGUUCGUUUGCAUUUAUGAUUUGUUGAUUUGGCGCUAUUUGGGAAUGGUUUUCCAGUUUCUAUACAGUUGUCGUUCCACAAUUCUGUACAUUGUGUGAAUUAUUGAACAAAAAGGAACUCCAUUUUCUUUC
rnacentral:lncRNA from 1 species